GCCGCUAUAGCUCAGUUGGUAGAGCGCUUGACUAGUAAUCAAGAGGUCUCGAGUUCAAAUCUCGGUGGUGGCU